rnacentral:rRNA from 1 species
UACGUAGGUGGCAAGCGUUGUCCGGAUUUACUGGGCGUAAAGAGCGCGCAGGCGGUCGUUCAAGUCGCGUGUGAAAGCCCCCGGCUCCAACUGGGGAGGGUCACGCGAUACUGAUCGACUCGAAGGCAGGAGAGGGUAGUGGAAUUCCCGGUGUAGUGGUGAAAUGCGUAGAUAUCGGGAGGAACACCAGUGGCGAAGGCGACUACCUGGCCUGUUCUGACGCUGAGGCGCGAAAGCUAGGGGAGCAAACGGGG